GGGGAAUCUUGCGCAAUGGCCGAAAGGCUGACGCAGCGACGCCGCGUGUGGGAGGAAGCUCUUCGGGGUGUAAACCACUGUUGCCCAGGACGAACACGCCUUUUCGAGGGCGCUGACGGUACCGGGUGAGGAAGCACCGGCUAACUCUGUGCCAGCAGCCGCGGUAAUACAGAGGGUGCGAGCGUUGUCCGGAAUCACUGGGCGUAAAGGGCGCGUAGGUGGUGGCUUAAGCGUGCGGUGAAAGCUCGGAGCUCAACUCCGAGUCGGCCGUGCGAACUGCUGGGCUCGAGCACUGUAGAGGCAGGCGGAAUUCCGGGUGUAGCGGUGGAAUGCGUAGAGAUCCGGAAGAACACCGGUGGCGAAGGCGGCCUGCUGGGCAGUGGCUGACACUGAGGCGCGACAGCGUGGGGAGCAAAC
rnacentral:rRNA from 1 species